rnacentral:rRNA from 1 species
GUGAACGCUGGCGGUAGGCCUAACCCAUGCCAGUCGAACGGCAGCACAGUAAGAGCUUGCUCUUACGGGUGGCGAGUGGCGGACGGGUGAGGAAUACAUCGGAAUCUACUUUUUCGUGGGGGAUAACGUAGGGAAACUUACGCUAAUACCGCAUACGACCUACGGGUGAAAGCAGGGGAUCUUCGGACCUUGCGCGAUUGAAUGAGCCGAUGUCGGAUUAGCUAGUUGGCGGGGUAAAGGCCCACCAAGGCGACGAUCCGUAGCUGGUCUGAGAGGAUGAUCAGCCACACUGGAACUGAGACACGGUCCAGACUCCUACGGGAGGCAGCAGUGGGGAAUAUUGGACAAUGGGCGCGAGCCUGAUCCAGCCAUACCGCGUGGGUGAAGAAGGCCUUCGGGUUGUAAAGCCCUUUUGUUGGGAAAGAAAAGCAGCAGGUUAAUACCCCGCUGUUCUGACGGUACCCAAAGAAUAAGCACCGGCUAACUUCGUG